CAGUAGCCACGGGAAUACGAAGGGGGCUAGCGUUGCUCGGAAUCACUGGGCGUAAAGGGUGCGUAGGCGGGUUAUUAAGUCAGAGGUGAAAUCCUGGAGCUCAACUCCAGAACUGCCUUUGAUACUGAUAGUCUUGAGUAUGGGAGAGGUGAGUGGAACUGCGAGUGUAGAGGUGAAAUUCGUAGAUAUUCGCAAGAACACCAGUGGCGAAGGCGGCUCACUGGCCCAUUACUGACGCUGAGGCACGAAAGCGUGGGGAGCAAACAGGAUUAGAGACCCGAGUAGUCCCUGUCUCUUAUAC
rnacentral:rRNA from 1 species